AAAUUUUAAAAGAUGUUGGAGGCUGAUGAAAUGCUGAUCGAAUCUCUGAAGUUGAGAAAUAUUAACCUUGCGGUGGUGUGUGGGUUCGUCGACCUUGAAAUGCAGGAAUGGUCAACAUCGGGUUGUUACGUUGUCUACGUCAAUGAUACGAAGGUUUUAUGUAAAUGUAAUCACCUGACAAGCUUCGGCAUUCUAAUGCAGGUCACAUCAUACGAGCCAAAUUCACAGCAUACCAAGGCU